AGAGUUUGAUCCUGGCUCAGGAUGAACGCUGGCGGCGUGCCUAACACAUGCAAGUCGAACGGACUUACAUUGAAGCCUAGCGAUAUGUAAGUUAGUGGCGGACGGGUGAGUAACGCGUGGGUAACCUGCCUUGUACUGGGGGACAACAGUUGGAAACGACUGCUAAUACCGCAUAAGCGCACAGCUUCGCAUGAAGCAGUGUGAAAAACUCCGGUGGUACAAGAUGGACCCGCGUCUGAUUAGCUGGUUGGUGAGGUAACGGCCCACCAAGGCGACGAUCAGUAGCCGGCCUGAGAGGGUGAACGGCCACAUUGGGACUGAGACACGGCCCAAACUCCUACGGGAGGCAGCAGUGGGGAAUAUUGCACAAUGGGGGAAACCCUGAUGCAGCGACGCCGCGUGAGCGAAGAAGUAUUUCGGUAUGUAAAGCUCUAUCAGCAGGGAAGAAAAUGACGGUACCUGACUAAGAAGCCCCGGCUAACUACGUGCCAGCAGCCGCGGUAAUACGUAGGGGGCAAGCGUUAUCCGGAUUUACUGGGUGUAAAGGGAGCGUAGACGGUUUUGCAAGUCUGAAGUGAAAGCCCGGGGCUUAACUCCGGGACUGCUUUGGAAACUGUAGAACUAGAGUGCAGGAGAGGUAAGUGGAAUUCCUAGUGUAGCGGUGAAAUGCGUAGAUAUUAGGAGGAACACCAGUGGCGAAGGCGGCUUACUGGACGAUAACUGACGCUGAGGCUCGAAAGCGUGGGGAGCAAACAGGAUUAGAUACCCUGGUAGUCCACGCCGUAAACG
rnacentral:rRNA from 1 species